rnacentral:rRNA from 1 species
CGAACGGGUGAGUAACGCGUGAGGAGCCUGCCUCAAAGAGGGGGACAACAGUUGGAAACGACUGCUAAUACCGCAUAAGCCCACGGCUCGGCAUCGAGCAGAGGGAAAAGGAGCAAUCCGCUUUGAGGUGGCCUCGCGUCCGAUUAGCUAGUUGGUGAGGUAACGGCCCACCAAGGCGACGAUCGGUAGCCGGACUGGGAGGUUGAACGGCCACAUUGGGACUGAGACACGGCCCAG